UACGUAGGGGCUAGCGUUGUCCGGAAUCAUUGGGCGUAAAGCGCGCGUAAGGGCGGCCCGAUAAGUCUGCUGUGAAAAGCUCCGAGGGCUCAACCCUGGAAUGCCGGUGGAUACUGUCGGGCUAGAGUUCGGAAGAGGCAAGUGGAAUUCCUGGUGUAGACGGUGGAAUGCGCAGAUAGUCAGGAGGAACACCUAUAGCGAAGGCAGCUUGCUGGGACGACACUGACGCUGAGGCGCGGAAAGCGUGGGGAGCGAACAGG
rnacentral:rRNA from 1 species